ensembl:snoRNA
UUUCUUGUGGAAACGUAUCCUCCUUAUUCCUUUAUUAGCAGGACUGUAUUCAUAACGUGCUACAUUUUAAAAGGAGUUCUCAAAGCUGCUGAUCUUACAGUAGUGGUUGAGUGUAGCCGAUGUCUCCUACAUAA